UAGUCCAACAAGCAAGCAGCAUCUGGGA
rnacentral:piRNA from 1 species